AGGUGUUUACAGACUGGAGAGAAAAUGGAACAUAUUUGAAUCACAAAAUCUGAGAAUUGAAAGAACCUGAGAAGCUAUGUGAUCAGACUUCAUACUCCAUGGAGAUCAUGAUGUAAGAAUAUUUACAUUCCCUGACAAGAUUAUACUACAAGGAAGCUUCCAACUAAAAAGGGCCAAGAAAAUUUUUAAAAAUGAAGACUUUCAUCAGAAUUUGAGUUAAGGAACUGUGAUAACCCCUUACCACAAAAUUUGAGGAAUCUUGGUUUGAUAUAUUGGAUUUACAACAGUAUUAAAGACUGAUUCACAAAUCUUCUUCCCAAGGGAAUGGAGCACCAUUGCAGAGAGUAAGAAAAGGAAGCCCUGGAAAUGGAAGCCCUGGAAGAAUAUUCCAGAAAGCCUUAUGUUGGAGGACUUGGCUGAGUCCUGGAACACUCUGAAAAAUCAGGUGUGGCUAUUAAGAGGAGCCUCUGGUCACCAUGGUUGAAGAACAGGCUGAAUCUCGAGCAGGGCUUUGAGAGAAAGUGGCAGCUCUACCCAGCAGACCCCUUCAGAGUAGUAUGGAGUUUUCAAAAUCCAGCUUCCCGGCCUUAGGAACUGACUCCACCAUGAGACAGCACUUUCAGAAAUGAAGAGGAAUCUCCUAACCUAAAGGGGGAAAAGCUAGAGGGAAUGCUGUCAUAUUGAAAGAUGAGGUUCAUUUUACAGAGCUGCUGCAGGUAAAGAGCAACCAGAAACAGUUUUUGCUGGAGAGAGAGCAAGGCCAUUGCUUCCCUGUGCCUGAACUUCCUGUCACUACAGCCAGUUAACCUUAACCUGCGAGGAACACUUUUAAAGCUAGAGGCAUCCCUGGUAUGAAAUAGAAUGCACCCCUUUGGCUAGACAUCUACAGCUUCUUGAAGGAAAUGCACAAGGACAUAGCCACACUUUGUAUCUGGAGUAGAGAUUAGGCCAAAUUGAGAGAGGUAGAAAGCUGGUCCAUGGUGCAGUGGUACCAACAAAGAAAGAAAACCAUACAGAGAAAAAUUGCCCUCCUGAGACUCUACACUCCAUCCCCACUGACUGUCUCUUCUGGCUACUGACACCCAAGUUUUGAAAUAGUUACAUGAUUUGUUUCCCCUUAAUUGUCAUUCAGGAUUGCAGAUUAACUUCUAAAAGGGAUAUAUAGAAGUUAAGAAAAAAAAAAAAAGAACAGGAAGAAACCCAAGGAGAAUUGGCAUAGAUUCUUUUGGUGUA